AUUGAACGCUGGCGGCAGGCCUAACACAUGCAAGUCGAGCGGAUGACGGGAGCUUGCUCCUUGAUUCAGCGGCGGACGGGUGAGUAAUGCCUAGGAAUCUGCCUGGUAGUGGGGGACAACGUUUCGAAAGGAACGCUAAUACCGCAUACGUCCUACGGGAGAAAGCAGGGGACCUUCGGGCCUCGCGCUAUCAGAUGAGCCUAGGUCGGAUUAGCUAGUAGGUGAGGUGAUGGCUCACCUAGGCGACGAUCCGUAACUGGUCUGAGAGGAUGAUCAGUCACACUGGAACUGAGACACGGUCCAGACUCCUACGGGAGGCAGCAGUGGGGAAUAUUGGACAAUGGGCGAAAGCCUGAUCCAGCCAUGCCGCGUGUGUGAAGAAGGUCUUCGGAUUGUAAAGCACUUUAAGUUGGGAGGAAGGGUUGUACGUUAAUACCGUGCAAUUUUGACGUUACCGACAGAAUAAGCACCGGCUAACUCUGUGCCAGCCGCCGCCGUAA
rnacentral:rRNA from 1 species